UAAAUGGAUAAGAUUUUUGAA
rnacentral:piRNA from 1 species